rnacentral:rRNA from 1 species
GACAGAGGGGGCAAGCGUUGCUCGGAAUCACUGGGCGUAAAGGGCGCGUAGGCGGGAUGGCAAGUCAGUCGUGAAAUCUCUCGGCUCAACCGAGAAACGUCGGCUGAUACUGCCGUUCUUGAGGGAUGCAGAGGAGACUGGAAUUCCAGGUGUAGCGGUGAAAUGCGUAGAUAUCUGGAGGAACACCGGUGGCGAAGGCGGCAUCCUGGACCAUGACUGACACUGAAAAGCGAAAGCCAGGGGAGCAAACGGG